rnacentral:rRNA from 1 species
CUGGUGGGUAGUUUGACUGGGGCGGUCUCCUCCUAAAGAGUAACGGAGGAGCACGAAGGUUGGCUAAUCCUGGUCGGACAUCAGGAGGUUAGUGCAAUGGCAUAAGCCAGCUUGACUGCGAGCGUGACGGCGCGAGCAGGUGCGAAAGCAGGUCAUAGUGAUCCGGUGGUUCUGAAUGGAAGGGCCAUCGCUCAACGGAUAAAAGGUACUCCGGGGAUAACAGGCUGAUACCGCCCAAGAGUUCAUAUCGACGGCGGUGUUUGGCACCUCGAUGUCGGCUCAUCACAUCCUGGGGCUGAAGUAGGUCCCAAGGGUAUGGCUGUUCGCCAUUUAAAGUGGUACGCGAGCUGGGUUUAGAACGUCGUGAGACAGUUCGGUCCCUAUCUGCCGUGGGCGCUGGAGAACUGAGGGGGGCUGCUCCUAGUACGAGAGGACCGGAGUGGACGCAUCACUGGUGUUCGGGUUGUCAUGCCAAUGGCACUGCCCGGUAGCUAAAUGCGGAAGAGAUAAGUGCUGAAAGCAUCUAAGCACGAAACUUGCCCCGAGAUGAGUUCUCCCUGACCCUUUAAGGGUCCUGAAGGAACGUUGAAGACGACGACGUUGAUAGGCCGGGUGUGUAAGCGCAGCGAUGCGUUGAGCUAACCGGUACUAAUGAACCGUGAGGCUUAACCUU